UUUUUUUCCUUUUUCGUUACGUUGACCGUAUGAUGGAAUCCAGCAGCAGGAGCAGCCAGUGGUUUUUUUGGAAUUUCUGAAGGAAAUAAAUCCGUCGUUAAGCUGGUAGUGACAUGGGAAGUCAUGUUGACAAUAGACGCGCUCAUUGAAAUUUUGCUCCUUGGAUUCAUGGCCAAUUACUUAGAAAUUUAGAUCAAUAAGACCUUAUCAUGAUAAUCGAUUUCUUGUGUAAGUAGUCGUUCACUCGGUAAUAAUGUAGAAUCAGUAAGUAGUCGUUCACUC
rnacentral:misc_RNA from 1 species